AUUGAACGCUAGCGGGAUGCUUUACACAUGCAAGUCGAACGAGUGGCGGACGGGUGAGUAAUAUAUCGGAAAGUGCCCAGGAGAGGGGGAUAAAUAAUCGAAAGAGUGGCUAAUACCGCAUACUAUAGGAGCGGCCGCAAUCGGAUUAUGUAGUUGGUGGGGUAAAGGCUGACCAAGGCGACGAUCCGUAGCUGGUUUGAGAGGAUGACCAGCCACACUGGAACUGAGACACGGCCCAGACUCCUACGGGAGGCAGCAGUGGGGAAUUUUGGACAAUGGGGGAAACCCUGAUCCAGCCAUCCCGCGUGUGUGAGGAGGCCUUCGGGUUGUAAAGUACUUUUGGCAGAGAAGCGGUAUCUGCAGAAUAAGCACCGGCUAACUACGUGCCAGCAGCCGCGGUAAUAC
rnacentral:rRNA from 1 species